UGGGGAAUAUUGCACAAUGGGCGCAAGCCUGAUGCAGCCAUGCCGCGUGUGUGAAGAAGGCCUUCGGGUUGUAAAGCACUUUCAGCGAGGAGGAAGGUGGUGAAGCUUAAUACGCUCAUCAAUUGACGUUACUCGCAGAAGAAGCACCGGCUAACUCCGUGCCAGCAGCCGCGGUAAUACGGAGGGUGCAAGCGUUAAUCGGAAUUACUGGGCGUAAAGCGCACGCAGGCGGUUUGUUAAGUCAGAUGUGAAAUCCCCGGGCUCAACCUGGGAACUGCAUUUGAAACUGGCAAGCUAGAGUCUCGUAGAGGGGGGUAGAAUUCCAGGUGUAGCGGUGAAAUGCGUAGAGAUCUGGAGGAAUACCGGUGGCGAAGGCGGCCCCCUGGACGAAGACUGACGCUCAGGUGCGAAAGCGUGGGGAGCAAAACAGGAUUAGAUACCCUGGUAGUCCACGCUGUAAACGAUGUCGAUUUUGGAGGUUGUGCCCUUGAGGCGUGGCUUCCGGAGCUAACGCGUUAAAUCGACCGCCUGGGGAGUACGGCCGCAAGGUUAAAACUCAAAUGAAUUGAC
rnacentral:rRNA from 1 species